rnacentral:rRNA from 1 species
AAAUUGAAGAGUUUGAUCAUGGCUCAGAUUGAACGCUGGCGGCAGGCCUAACACAUGCAAGUCGAGCGGUAGCACAGAGAGCUUGCUCUCGGGUGACGAGCGGCGGACGGGUGAGUAAUGUCUGGGAAACUGCCUGAUGGAGGGGGAUAACUACUGGAAACGGUAGCUAAUACCGCAUAAUGUCGCAAGACCAAAGUGGGGGACCUUCGGGCCUCAUGCCAUCAGAUGUGCCCAGAUGGGAUUAGCUAGUAGGUGGGGUAACGGCUCACCUAGGCGACGAUCCCUAGAUGGUCUGAGAGGAUGACCAGACACACUGGAACUGAGACACGGUCCAGACUCCUACGGGAGGCAGCAGUGGGGAAUAUUGCACAAUGGGCGCAAGCCUGAUGCAGCCAUGCCGCGUGUGUGAAGAAGGCCUUCGGGUUGUAAAGCACUUUCAGCGGGGAGGAAGGCGAUAAGGUUAAUAACCUUGUCGAUUGACGUUACCCGCAGAAGAAGCACCGGCUAACUCCGUGCCAGCAGCCGCGGUAAUACGGAGGGUGCAAGCGUUAAUCGGAAUUACUGGGCGUAAAGCGCACGCAGGCGGUCUGUCAAGUCGGAUGUGAAAUCCCCGGGCUUAACCUGGGAACUGCAUUCGAAACUGGCAGGCUAGAGUCUUGUAGAGGGGGGUAGAAUUCCAGGUGUAGCGGUGAAAUGCGUAGAGAUCUGGAGGAAUACCGGUGGCGAAGGCGGCCCCCUGGACAAAGACUGACGCUCAGGUGCGAAAGCGUGGGGAGCAAACAGGAUUAGAUACCCUGGUAGUCCACGCCGUAAACGAUGUCGAUUUGGAGGUUGUGCCCUUGAGGCGUGGCUUCCGGAGCUAACGCGUUAAAUCGACCGCCUGGGGAGUACGGCCGCAAGGUUAAAACUCAAAUGAAUUGACGGGGGCCCGCACAAGCGGUGGAGCAUGUGGUUUAAUUCGAUGCAACGCGAAGAACCUUACCUGGUCUUGACAUCCACAGAACUUUCCAGAGAUGGAUUGGUGCCUUCGGGAACUGUGAGACAGGUGCUGCAUGGCUGUCGUCAGCUCGUGUUGUGAAAUGUUGGGUUAAGUCCCGCAACGAGCGCAACCCUUAUCCUUUGUUGCCAGCGGUUAGGCCGGGAACUCAAAGGAGACUGCCAGUGAUAAACUGGAGGAAGGUGGGGAUGACGUCAAGUCAUCAUGGCCCUUACGACCAGGGCUACACACGUGCUACAAUGGCAUAUACAAAGAGAAGCGACCUCGCGAGAGCAAGCGGACCUCAUAAAGUAUGUCGUAGUCCGGAUUGGAGUCUGCAACUCGACUCCAUGAAGUCGGAAUCGCUAGUAAUCGUAGAUCAGAAUGCUACGGUGAAUACGUUCCCGGGCCUUGUACACACCGCCCGUCACACCAUGGGAGUGGGUUGCAAAAGAAGUAGGUAGCUUAACCUUCGGGAGGGCGCUUACCACUUUGUGAUUCAUGACUGGGGUGAAGUCGUAACAAGGUAACCGUAGGGGAACCUGCGGUUGGAUCACCUCCUUACCUUAAAGAA